CAGGCCCCGUGGCAGUUCGCAGAGGUGGAUGGGCCCGGCAGCAGUGACAAGCAGAGGAUGUGUCUUGCUUUCUCCGAAUCCAAAAGUCACCGUAAAGCAGACAACAUGGCUUAUUUGAGAACCAAAGGCUAUGAAGAGAGGCAUUCUGGGAUACCCUGAUACUCUUGGGCCCCACCUUCUACAGCUACACCACCACUCUUCAAUAGUCUCUUCCAAAUCUGCAACCAUCAGCUAAGACAUUGAGGUCAGAGCCUUCAAGAUCCAAUCCCUGGGAAAGCCUUUGCAGAUGCAUCCAAAGCAGCCUGAAGAGCAGUCCCUCAAAUAUGCCUGCAAUUCCUGAGACCUGUGAAAGUUACCUCAUCUGGCAAAGAAAGACUUCAUGGAUGUAAUAAAGUUAUGCAUCUCUGAAUGAAGAGGACAGUUACUCUAGAUUAUUCGAUGGAACACAUGGAAUCACAAAGGUCCUUCAGAGCAGAGAGAGGAUGCAUGGACAGUAGCAGAGAUUUGAAUAGGCUGAGCUGCUGGCAUUGAAAGUGGUGGAAGCAACCAUAGGCCAUGGGUAUAAGAAAGGCAGCCCUGGGAGCCUGAAAAGAAAGUCAAUGGAUUGAUUCUCCUCUGGAGCCCUGACUCUGCUGAUGCCCUGACUUCGGGCCAGUGAGCCUGAUUUUCAACUUCUAGCUUCCAGAAGUGUAAGAGAAUAAAUCUG